rnacentral:tRNA from 1 species
GCUAUACCUGGCAGCUGGUUGAGGCAAAUAACCCGGGGUGGUGCUUUACAGGGCAGGGGG